CGCCCUUAGAGUUUGAUCAUGGCUCAGAUUGAACGCUGGCGGCAGGCCUAACACAUGCAAGUCGAACGGUAAGAGAGCUUGCUCUUGACGAGUGGCGGACGGGUGAGUAAUGUCUGGGAAACUGCCCGAUGGAGGGGGAUAACUACUGGAAACGGUAGCUAAUACCGCAUAACGUCUUCGGACCAAAGUGGUUAGUCACACCAUCGGAUGUGCCCAGAUGGGAUUAGCUAGUAGGUGGGGUAAAGGCUCACCUAGGCGACGAUCUCUAGCUGGUCUGAGAGGAUGACCAGCCACACUGGAACUGAGACACGGUCCAGACUCCUACGGGAGGCAGCAGUGGGGAAUAUUGCACAAUGGGCGCAAGCCUGAUGCAGCCAUGCCGCGUGUAUGAAGAAGGCCUUAGGGUUGUAAAGUACUUUCAGCGGGGAGGAAGGGCGACACGUAAUCGCGUCGAUUGACGUUA
rnacentral:rRNA from 1 species